rnacentral:tmRNA from 1 species
GGGGGUGAAAUUGGCUUCGACAGGGAUAUUUGUUCUUUGAACUGCGCACCGUGUUCUCCGAAGACACGUUAAACGUCGGUACAAAGUCGAAUUGACGACUAUAACUACGCAUUAGCUGCUUAAUUAAUUAAGCAGCCGUUCUUCAAAUCUUCGCAUACUGAGAUUUGAAAGAACGCCGUUUAAGUAUGCUAGCUGAAUCGAGAUUCUGAGUAGAGGAAGCGAAAAAUUUAUCAGAAUAGUUUAAUUAAACCUUGCUUGUUAGGGUUAAUUAAGCGAACCUCAAAGAACAAGCUAUGUGUGUAGACGUUCACUGAAGGCUAUCCUUGGACGCGGGUUCAACUCCCGCCACCUCCAC